CACACCGAGAUAUUUUGUGUCUGCCAAGAUAAUAUGAGCCAAUCAGAAAAGAGUAUUUCACACGAAACGAAACGACACGGUGAGUUGAGGACUCCCCUUAAGAUAUUUAUCUUGGUUCGUGAUCGCUACCGAGGUUUAUCGAUAAUAUUAUCUAUAAACCUUGCACUGUCGCCACCACAAUAUGUAUUAGGACACUGGCAAAUAAUAUCGAUGUCCAUUUACUAAUUUACUAACCGAAACACUGAUUAGUACGCAGUACAAUAACACUUUUAACUACCUAAAGUAGAGAUGGAGUAAAAAUUCAUUGGGAGCCUAAUUCGGGAAAAAUCUCACGAAGAACGAAGGGUUGGUUUACGGUAUUGACC